ACAAACUUGGUCAUUUAGAGGAAGUAAAAUUCGUAACAAGGUCUCCGUUGGUGAACCAGCGGAGGGAUCAUUACAGAGUUGAAAAACUCCCAACCCUUUGUGAACCUACCUCUUUGACUGUUGCUUCGGCAGGCGGCCCCAGGGCGGGGCUGUAGCCUGAUUCAGGUGCCUGCCGGAGGUAUCAAACUCUAUUUUUAAUAGUAACGUCUGAGUAAAUAUUACAAAAUAAGUCAAAACUUUCAGCAACGGAUCUCUUGGUUCUGGCAUCGAUGAAGAACGCAGC
rnacentral:misc_RNA from 1 species